AUAGCAAAGCUGUUGUUUAGCCAAGGUAAAGUGACCUGCAUUUACUCAGAUGACUCAAUUGCCUUGAGGGAAUAAUUGGAUUUGAGAGCUGAGGAGCCCCACGGACCAGAACUUCAUUGUGCAAAGUGUCCUACAAACAGAGAACAAAAAGACGGUCCUUUCCUCAAGGAAGUUCACAAUCUAAGUAUAAGACAAGAGACAAGACAAUAGAUACAGACAGAUGGGGGAGUACAAGCGAACAAUGAGACAGUAUUGGUCUGCAUGGGUGAGGGGGUGGUCGGUUGGUGAGAAGAGGACAGAUGACAAAUGAGUUAACACACAGCAAUGGAAUGCAAGUCAAGAUUCAGAGGGAAGACGGCACAGAAUGCAUGCAGAGGAAAACCUGGAUUGGGGCAUGACAUGGCAGAAAAUAUAGAGAAGGAAACAAAACAUCCCCUCCCUUCAGACUGGAAACACCAGGAGAAGCAGCUCUCUUCAACUUCAGCUUCUUCUUCUAUCUGUUUACUUGCAGGGUAUUAUUCAGCCACUAGAUGUCUCUACGGGCUGUACAGAGUUUCAUGCAGGGUGUGGUCUGUGAUAAACAAAGGAGGCAACGUUAGAAUUCAAGUUGUGUGAUAAUCUGUAUCCGUCUUUGUUUUCCAUGAUUCCGUAUAUCAUAACACAACCUGCUUCCCGUGACGCCUGAAGUACCAUGUGCAAAGGCUUUUCUUUUGGUAUUCUUGGUCAAUGACAAAAAAUUCAGACACCGUUGUGAAAACAAAAGCCUCACAGACAAGUCUGGUUUAAAUUUUAGAGGGAGGUUUGGUCUGCAGCGGCGGCUCCAGGCACCAGCACACCAAGCGCACGCCUGGGGCAGCAAGCCACCGGGGGCGCCCUGCCGGUCCCUGAAAGGGCAGCAGUCAGGCCGCCUUAGGCGGCAUGCCUGAGGGAGGUCCGCCGGUCCCUUGGAUUUGGCGGCAAUUUGGCAGCGGGUAUGCCAAAGCCGCGGGACCGGCGGACAUGCUGAAGGCAGCCUGCCUGCCGUGCUUGGGGCGGCAAAAAAGCUAGAGCCGCCCCUGUUGGUCUGGUUCCUAUUUUGUUCCAACCACUUCACCCAUCCUGAUACAAAACAACCAACUCCCGCCUUAAUCAAUACUCUGGAAACUCAGAGGCUCUAUGGAGCAUAUUCGUGUGGGUAAAAACCUUUAAAAUCUUCAAAUGGUAGCUCCUCUUAAAAGUUAAGGAGGAGUUACACAACAAAACAUCCCAUAAACUGAAGAGAAAACAGCACCUUAGAACUUAGAACAACUCCCUGAUACAACUAUGUACCUGUCCAGCAAACAUGUCGAUCUGCUGUAUAUUUAUCUAUCUUAGACUGUACGUUCUCUGGAGCAAAGAAUGUGUCAUUUUGUGCGUGUGGACACAACUGCGAUGUGUGCCUUGGACAAUUUCCCCCACAGAAAUCAAUGAACUCUAUCUACAUUUGGUUCCUCCAUUUGGUCCCAGCCGUCUUUGCGCAAGCACUACUUACAGAGAAGGUGUCCCAUUAAUAAAGCCAAGAUCCACACCACUUGUAAUAAUACUGUUACACUUGUUGCUCUAGGUCACUAAAGGCUUUACAAACAUUAAUUUAGCCCCUAACCUGCCCCACUCAAAGUAAAUGAGUAUUACUAACUCCAUUUUAUGCGUAAAACUGAGGCACAGAAAGGUGAGAAGAAUUCCUCUGAGUCAUGCAAUGAGAAAAUUAAGAACUAAAUCUGAUCCUAACUCAGAGAUCCUUGCUCUAACUCCUAGAUAAUACUUGCCUCCUUUGUGAUCAUUAAAGAUGCUAUGACCAUCUUUGAUGUCUUGGCCAAGUUCCAACUUGAGUAAUUACAUAACUGAAUUACUGAAUGCAAUAUUCUUCCCAUCCUGUUCUAAAAUAUUGCAAAGUUUUGCUACACACCAUUAAACAGCAGCUGUUUCCCACCCCCGAGGUAGCUGCAUUUCAGAAAUGGGCAAAGCAAUUGUUAUACAUACACAUGGUAGUUUGUACAACCAGUUAUUAAAAUUAGAAAGAACUUUGCUAUCCGAAGCAGCACGGUCUGGAGAAAUGAGCAUAAGGAUAGGAGCCAGAAGCUCCUUUGCUCUAAUCCAAGCUAACUGACCCAUGUGGCCUGGGGCAAUCCACUUACCUCUUUCUGCCUCAAUUUCUCCAUUUGAAAAUCAGGACUAAUACAUUUGCCUACCUUACAAAGCAGUUGUGAGAAUUAGUUGCCUACCAGCCAUGCUGCGCUUUGAGCAUUUAAAGUGCUAAGUGCCAUUUGGAAACCAGUGAAAAGCGAAGCAGGUAAGAUUCUUAGCUUAACUUCCUCCUCAAAGGUCACACCUAUUACCUGCCCAUGGUACGCAGUUUCUUACAUUUGUGGUUGUUAAGGUUUCACCCCCUCUUCCAAACACGUGUCUCCCACCAACAUAGGUCAAUAGUCCCACAACACCUGGCUACCUACCAGUUACAUUUUUAUAAUUAAAGUGCAGACACGUCUAAAUACGCUAGGCUGCGAUGACUAGAUGGCUUUGGUACUGAUGCCAGCACUUUGAUGAAUGCGGACUCUUAAGGCAAAACAAACAACAACAAAGUCAACUAACAAGUUUCUAGACCCAUUUGUUCUAAAUGACAGAUCGGCAAACAGAGUAAUUUUUUUACAAACAGCUUUUUUUAACACAGAACCCAAAAUAAACCCUGACCUAGCUGUGGUGCCAUGUUAAACAAUAAUUACUCUAUAUAAGGCUUACCAAAUGGGAAUAUUUGUGGGCCAGUGGGAUGAAAUUAUUUUAGGACUUGCACAAACUUUCUCGGGGAGUGGUAAGACUAGCUGUGGGUAAUGUGGUGUACCUAGGAAACAGGCAGACACUUCUUUUUUCUUUUUUUUUUUUUAGGGCUCUAUUAAAAUUCACUGGCUUUACCAACUUACUGCUAAGGGGAAGGGGGAAAGAAAUUUGUUUACCCCUCUAUAAAAUAAUCCUCACUAUGUCACUGUAUGUGUUUUGAGAUUCUAUCUAGGUCUGGCCACCAGCCAUACCCACUAAACCACACCCAAACAUGCAGGAGAACGGAGGAAAGCAGAGAUGCAUAGCAAGGUCCUUGUAAUAUUUUACAGUACUGGAAAAAAAAACCACAACUGGCUUCAUCUCCAUUUCUCACAUACCAUUCGGGCUGCUUCACCGAGAACUGCUGUGCAGCAUCAGAGGAGACUGAAAUCUCCAUUGCCAUGCAUGGUGCCUGCGGAACGCACUGCAGUACAAGCAACUCCCUUUAAGCAGUGUUAUGCCUUGCACGCACUGGUGUCACCACUGGGAUAGCUGCACCAGUGCAAAUCCCAAACUAAGCUAAAGUUUGCACUGGUGUGGUUCACCCUUGCUUGAAACCAGGAUAAAUUGCAACAGUGCAAAUUGCAGUUUAACAAUCUCAUCUACUCUAGGGGCUUGCACUGGGCCACAUCAUCAGUGGCUGGGCUGCUGAUGACUGAAACUGGGGCAAAUUCCCAGUGCAGACAUAGCCUUGUCGUUGGGCUUUCUCAGGAAACACCUUUGUCAUUUGAAAAGCUGCAUCCUCCUUGUGUGAGCUAUAGGGGUCUGCAAGAGGGAAAGGCUAUAAUUGUGUACCCCACCCUACCUCUCCAGCAACAGGAGUCCUACUCCCAGCUGAAAAGCUUUAAAUACAUCAAAUUAAAUAUCUGUUGUCUUGAACCUCAGCUGUCUCAAUCAAUGUGGUCCCCAAGAGCCUAUUUACACUGUCUGUCCACAAAAUGCAGCACUAACAUACCAUCAGAAGGCAUUGUCCUCAUCUGUCAUUGUUAUUG